AACUUUUAAUAGAAAUACUGAUGUUUCCUGUUUAUCACAGCACAGCGACUCCUAAUGAGCUCAAAGCCCGACAUUGGUUCCUGUAUGCAGGAUGCAGUGUUCAAACUGAAAGCCCGCGCAUGCUCAGUGUGUUUCCCUAAACUCGCGGGCGGAUGGGCUUUUCACGGCGCGGAGUUUGAAACUCGACUACAAGCAGCACAGUCAGUCAUGCAGUCCUGCAGUCCGGUCUCUGUGUCCUGAUCUUACUGAUGUCUACAUUCACUACUGGUCAGUCAUGCAGUCCUGCAGUUCUGCUCUCUGUAUCCUGAUCUUACUGAUCUCUACAUUCACUACUGGGUCUGAAUCAGCUGAACCUCCAGUGAAGGUGAAUCUUCAUGACUCUGCUACUCUGCCCUGCUCUGAGAGAUGCUCUGGUUUGGUCAAAUGGACCGUAUCACAUAAAGAUGGAGAUGUUCUGGCUGAGUGUGAUCAGACUUCAUGUAGAUCAGUGAAGGAGGGAUAUCAGAUGAUCCAUGAUCAGUACCUGAAGGGGAAUCUCUCUCUCACCAUCACUGAUGCUGAUUUCACUAAGAGAGGCUGGUACACGUGUGAGUGUGACGGUAAAGAUCUCUGUGAUGUGCAGCUUCAGAUUGAGCCCUUGAACAGCACAGUUCAGAAAAAGCCUGGUCAGUCUCUGGUCCUGGAUUUGGACGUAUCAGAUCCAGUGGAGGUGAUUUAUAACAGCACGGGUGCAGCUAAUCAGUCCAGUGAUCAGAUCUGUACAGUGGAUGGAUGCUCACUAGAGUGUGAACCUGAAUAUGAAGAGAGAGUGUCGGCAGCUCUUCAGCUGAGAGCAGUGACUCCAUCUGAUAACGGGGUUUAUACUAUAAAGACCACCGGGGAUGAAGAAGUUAUCCACACCUACUCAGUGACCGUCCAAGAUGACCAGCCAUGUCUGGACACAGAUAAAGGACCUGCUGUGCCAGCGUGGAUGUUUGUACUGAUUGCUGCACUUGUAGCUGUGAUUGUGAUACUGGCUGUGAAGAUUGUGCAGCUGAGGAGAGAAAAUCAGAUGCUCCGUAACCAGCGCAUCUGAGAGGUCAUCACCAUCCCAUCAGUGUCUCCAAAGUUCCUUUUCCCAGCACAGUGUUGCGUUCUUCAUCUGCUUCAGUGCUUUAGUGUGGAACAUCAAUGACUUCUUCACCAAACAGUAUUUUUCACUUCCAUCUGGUUAGCUUCUUUUUAUAUAGCUGCCUGAUAGCCAGCUAGCUAGCUAAGAUUGGAUGUGACGGCAUAAUAGCAGGUGAUAUUGUGUGAGGAGACCAAUGAGUUCGGAUGCUACAGUGUCGCAGCUUUUUUUGUCUUUUUUUUUUAAAAACAGCUCUGGGCCACCUCAUCUCUGUGUCCCACGGAGGCCUGGCGAAAAAGUCAUGAAAGUUAGGAUGAUAUGGCGAUCUAAUUUGGUCUAAGUUUAGUAGUUAGGGGCUACUUGCAUUUAUACAGCCACAGCAGCAAAAAUAAAACAAUUAUUAUUUUUAUUCAUUUUCCGUUAGGUCCGUUAAACUCCUCAUUGUUUCAGAUGAAUCAGUCUGUAACUAAAGUGGUUGAUCUGAUUGAUCAGAUUCAGUGUGAACUGAAGCUUCAUGAUUACAGGCGACUCCAGGCAGCUACUGAUGUCUUCGCUACUUUGAGUUUCACACUCAGAGAAGUGAAGGAAGUGUUUAUGUUGUCUGUCUUCAAAGAAAUGAAGCUUCCACUGAUGUUACUGAAUGUUUGUCCUCUCGAUCAGUGUUUGUUCAUCUGCUCUGCUGACCCGCAGCUCUGCACAGGUUCUGGGCUAACUCAGCACACCUGAUCCAGAUGAGAACAGUGAGAGAACAGUAAAACCGUGCAGAGCUGUGUGUCACCAGCAGCACAGUUAGACCCCAUCAGCUCAUUAACAAACCCUCACUGAGCUAAAACAGCCGUGUCAGAGCAGGAAAACACUAAGAGGUUCUCCAGGAUCAAGGAUGUAAUAGAAGACUAGAUAAAUAUGUGAAAGAUGAAAGAUUUUGGUAUGUAAAUGUUUCGUGUGCAUUCAAAAUGAUUUGUAUACCUGUGUGUGUGUCAUGUUAUCUAGAUUUACAUCUGAUACUUUUUAAUGUAAAUUUUAGACACUGGGGGCUUUGUUUAAUAUAGAUUUUGUACUUUGUACUUUGGUGGGUUUGACGUUUUUGUACUUGUUCACAUUCUCUGUUAUUGUGCCUCGUAUAAGAUCUGUUUUGAGAGUAGAACAGACACGAGCCAGACUGAGUUCAGUGGGAGACACAGAAUCUUGACAGAAUCUUGUAUCUUCAUUUUUGGAUGGAGACAUUAUUAUUAUUAUUAUUAUUAUUAUUAUUAUUAUUAUCAUUAUUAUUAUUAUUAUAUUAUUAUUAGCAUUUUAAUUUAUUUGCCUUUUUGCAUGAUAAUUGAACACGUUCUGUUUGUACUGUUUUAAUUCAUUUCAUGGUGAAGUGAUACUUAAAUCUAAGAGCUCUCGUCCUCAUUUUUAUACGUUUCAGUCUGAUUUGUUUGAAAUGUUCGAUCGUAUUAAUUUAAAAUGAAGCAGAGUGAUGAAUGUCAGGUGUCAAACUCCAACAUUUCUGAUUCUGAGGGCCUGUCAGCCACUUCACCUCUGUGCCCUUUUUGAGUGACAUACAGAGAGUUAACCGCUGUUCCUGAGUUCACACCAGCGUUUCUGUGGGUGUGUCUAUGUUCUUUCCAGUGUCCCAGUGUGUUCUGUUUACUGAAGCAGGAUUAGGCUUGUUUACAUCCUACUGAUUAAUUAAAAUCCCAGCUUAUUACGUACUAAGACUUAUUAUUCAGUAACUACAGGGACUUCAGUGCAAACUGGCGGAGCUGCUCGUAGGUUAUAGAAGCACACUCAUGAAAAAGACGGUUCUUUAGUAAAGAACAUGGUUCUAUGUAG